AGGAGGAGGAGUGGCAGGAGGAGGUUUGGACCAGCUGCCAUGUACUGAGGACCCCUCGCCAGGUUGGAGGGCGGUAAUGCCUGCAAGACGGGACAAAAUGCCUGCGAGAAGGGACAAGAGGAAGCAGGGGAAAGUGAAGUCUGGGGACGCUCCGUCCAGAAGGAGAGGACCCGAGCGUGCGAAGGCCUGGAGCUCGUGCGACGGUGAGAGCAGCAGACGCACAACUGAGCUCUUAUAGCUCCUUCACACUUCAUAGAGUGGCUCAUUUCAUCUUUACAUCAACCCGACGAGAGCCCUCUUGGGAGGAGACGGAGGCCAGGUGGCAGACCUUGACUAAAAGACACAGCUAUAAGGGGUC
rnacentral:lncRNA from 1 species